rnacentral:rRNA from 1 species
UACGUAGGGUGCGAGCGUUAAUCGGAAUUACUGGGCGUAAAGCGUGCGCAGGCGGUUAUGUAAGACAGUUGUGAAAUCCCCGGGCUCAACCUGGGAAUUGCAUCUGUGACUGCAUAGCUAGAGUACGGUAGAGGGGGAUGGAAUUCCGCGUGUAGCAGUGAAAUGCGUAGAUAUGCGGAGGAACACUGAUGGCGAAGGCAAUCCCCUGGACCUGUACUGACGCUCAUGCACGAAAGCGUGGGGAGCAAACAGG